rnacentral:lncRNA from 1 species
GCCAUUGGAGAUGAAAGGUGACCAGCUCUUUCUCAUCUUUUUCAAGGAAACAGCGGUAGAAAAUAUCCUUAAGUUGUAGCUGUGAAACUUCAGCUGGCCAUCUUUGCUGAUCCAUGGGAGACUGCUGUUCUGCACCAGCCCAGAGUCAGCCUCCUGGAGAAGUAGAACUGGAUUCUCUCACUGCAGCACACAGGCAAAGGCUGAUAAACCAAAGGUAAUGAAGAUGUAGCUGCUGCAUAUAUGAAGUUAGGCAGAAAGGAUGGAAGGACCAUAACAAAGCUGAUGAGAGAAUGGAAGAAGGGAAACUGGAGGAGAAGAAGCUAUAAGAUUGGAUUUGCUACCUGACCACAGGCACCAAGAUUUCUCUGGUUAGAAUAUAAUUUCCUGGUUUUCAUCCAAUAAAUGGCACAAGCUGUUUGGUACCAGACUUUUAAAUACAGGCACCAUUUUAUAACAAUCACAUAGUUGUUACCUGUGUUACUUGAACAUAAUGAUGUUGUCUUCUGCCUCAGCUACUGAUUUUCUCACCCUGCUCCUUGGGAGAUUUCUGUCCAUCCUGAAUGCUAAUUCCCAAUACCUUUUAUCUCCUCCUGACCUUUCACCACAGCUUUGGGCUUUGGGGUUGUCUACUUGGCAACUCCCAGGUUUGUUUGUUUUUUUAAUUAAUAUUUCCCAAACUGACUUCUUCAAAUUUCCCAAAGCCUUCCUCUUAUUUCUAUAGACCCUGUCUUAAUUAAUUCCACCAAUUCCCUAAGGUACUUUUUCCUUUUUUUUCUUUAUCCCACACCUAAUUAAUAACAUCCUGCCAAUUUUUCCCCCUAAAUAUUUUUUGAAUCUAGUUCCUGUUCUCUCUCCC